AGAGGUCCUGACUUGCGAGAGGUCACAGUGAGCAGCAGAGCUAGCCCCAGACAAGACACCCAGCUGUCUAGGAAGGGCACCAAAGGUCUUGCAGUUGGCCACAUCCUUCCCAAGGCUGGUCCCCACUCAGAGGAGGAGAGAGAAGAGGAACAGUUUCGAGCACUGCUCCUUUCUAAGCCAGGCCCAGGGCUAAGUGCAGCUCAUAGGAUCACAGGAGCUAGAGAUGGCUAUCGUCUUGGAAGCCAUGAAGUCCAACCCUCUCAUAGAUUUCUAGGGGAUAAAGUGAGAUCUGGCUAUCAGAACAGGAGUUACAAAAGGGAUGAACUGGAAACUCAAAGAAGAAAGGGCUUUACACCUGUAGAAACCAAGAAGGUGUUAACAGCAACAGUUCCCACCAGAACUGGAGGCUCAAAAGUGCAUUGACUGAGGGCUCUAUCUGUUGUAUCAAUGGAAAAAAUGCUGAAUUUAGACCUUAAAGACUUGUCUUUUAAUCCUGGCUCCAACACUUACUAGCUGCAACAUCCUACCUCAACAGUUGCUGUGAGGAUGCAAUGAGAUACUUGUCAAUCACCUAGCAGAGCAGAUGACGCAUGGUGAGGAAACUGAGGCCCAGAAAAGACCACAUCCUCUUUCAAGAAGCCCCAGCCCCAGUGGCCUAGAAGAGGAUACGCAACGGCCUUAUCCACGGAGAAUGGCUGUUGGGAUGUUCGGAUCAGGAAGGCCAAGCAGGCAGAAAGCAGGGCUCCCGUGUAGAGGCAGAGCGAGACCACCAGCAGCAUGAAGCAUCGGAAGUUGCGUUGGCCAAUGCAGUUAUUGACCCACUUGCAAUGGUGAUCAAAAUCCUGGGAGGAGUAGGAUGAAGUGGGUCUGGAGGUUCAACUAUGGAAUCCCUAAGCCUCAAACUGGUCUCCCUUUCCUUACCCUUAACUUUCCACCCAUUUUUAAACCCCUACCUUUGGACUCACUUUUUCUCCCCCCAUUCACACACAGGAAGAAACUGAGAGGCCAAUUAGCCUGCAAAUUUUGUCCCUUGGCCUGAUAAGCUAGGCGUUAUGAGUUCAUCCUUUCAGAGAGGCAGCCUGGGGCCAUGAAAAGAGAGUCAGACCAGAAAUCUGGAGACCUGGGCUCUGACUUAAGCUCUCUCACCAAGAAGGUAUGUGACUCUGGGCAAAACAUAUCACCUCUCAGAGGUUUUGAUUUCCCCAACUGUAAAAUGAGGAUGCUAAUUAUACCUUCCCUGCCUAUCUAAUAGAGUUGGUAGGAGGCUCAAAUGAGAAAAUAUAAUACCUAGCAAUUGUAUAGAACUUUAAGACUUGAAAGGGCUUUCUAUACUUCAUCUCAUUAGAACAUGAAUGAAAAGCCAUUUGAUAAAAAGUGCUCUGCACGAGUUUUAGAUUAUUGUUCUAAGAAAGUCUCCUGGCCUGGAAACCCAGGCUUUGUUUCCCAAAGACUUGCGUCAGCAAGAGACAAGAGCUUCUUGCUGGGCCCAGCAUUGCCUUGGCCCAUUCCCUGCCCCCAUCCCACCCCUACGUGAACUCCCGCAAGCACAUCCGCUCCUACGUGAUCUUUUUGGUUGAGACUGAUAAUGUCAGCUUUCUCUCCACCCCAAAGAGAUAUAAGUGUGUUUGUGUAAAGAAAGAAAGAAUCCCAAGCCAGGGGUUCUUAAUGUAGGGUCUGUAAUGUUUGGGUAGAUUUUAUGGGGUUUGUGAACUUCAGCGGGAUAAAAAUUUUUGUUCA